UACGAAGGGGGCGAGCGUUGUUCGGAUUUACUGGGCGUAAAGGGCGCGUAGGCGGCUUUGCAAGUGACGGGUGAAAUCCCUCGGCUUAACCGAGGAACUGCCUGUCAAACUGCAUGGCUUGAGACCGGGAGAGGUGAGUGGAAUUCCCAGUGUAGCGGUGAAAUGCGUAGAUAUUGGGAGGAACACCAGUGGCGAAGGCGGCUCACCGGACCGGUACUGACGCUGAUGCGCGAAAGCGUGGGGAGCAAACAGG
rnacentral:rRNA from 1 species